rnacentral:rRNA from 1 species
GACGAACGCUGGCGGCAUGCCUAAUACAUGCAAGUCGAACGGAGUUUAUUGAGAAGCUUGCUUCUUAAUUUACUUAGUGGCGGACGGGUGAGUAACACGUAGGCAACCUGCCUGUAAGUCGGGGAUAACUCACGGAAACGUGAGCUAAGACCGGAUAGUCGAGAGGAAGGCAUCUUCUUCUUGGGAAAGACGGAGCAAUC